AUGGCGGGCACGGGGCGGUCCAUGCUGCUGUCGCUCCUGCUGUUCGCGGUGACGCUGUCGCUGCUGGAGAUGUACCGGGGCUGGUUCGCCGCGUCCGAGCUCAAGACCAUCGCCGGCGGAUUCGUCAGCUCCCUCCUCUUCCUCCUCCUCCUCACCUUUAUCGGUAAUUACCAAGAAGCUAGUGGUGUUAGAACUGGGUGGGGUGCAGUUGUUGUAGCACAACUUGUUGCUCUUAUUGUAGCUGGCACUGUCCACCGCGUUUGCAUCACAACAUGCUUCCUGUUCUCUGCCGGGAUCCUUUACGAGGUCGACAAGCUCUCCGGGAUGAUCCUCGCGAGGAGCGAGUCCAAGGCGAGGCGGUACUGA
rnacentral:rRNA from 1 species